rnacentral:rRNA from 1 species
GAUGAACGCUGGCGGCGUGCCUAAUACAUGCAAGUCGAGCGAAGCGGGGACGGGUGAGGAACACGUGGAUAACCUCCUAUAAGAAUGGGAUAAAUUAGGGAAACCGGAGCUAAACCGGCUACUUAGAGGGGGAAGCGCGUUGCAUUGGCUAGUUGGUAAGGUAAAGGCGUCCCAAGGCCACGAUGCAUAGCCGACCUGAGAGGGUGAUCAGCCACACUGGAACUGAGACACGGUCCAGACUCCUACGGGAGGCAGCAGUAGGGAAUCUUGCGCAAUGGGCGAAAGCCUGACGGAGCCACGCCGCGUGGGUGACGAAGGUCUUCGGAUCGUAAAACACUGUAAGUAGGGAAGCGUUACCUACUCAAAAAGCCCCGGCUAACUCCGUGCCAGCAGCCGCGGUAAUAC